AGUGUUACCUGUGUAGGGUCAGUGUCGUCUGUGUAGGGUCAGUGUCACCUGUGUAGGGUCAGUGUCGUCUGUGUAGCGUCAGUGUCAUCUGUGUAGGGUCAGUGUCGUCUGUGUAGGGUCAGUGUUACCUGUGGAGGGUCAGUGUCAUCUGUGUAGGGUCAGUGUCGUCUGUGUAGGGUCAGUGUCGUCUGUGUAGGGUCAGUGUUACCUGUGUAGGGUCAGUGUCACCUGUGUAGGGUCAGUGUCGUCUGUGUAGGGUCAGUGUUACCUGUGUAGGGUCAGUGUCGUCUGUGUAGGGUCAGUGUCGUCUGUGUAGCAUCAGUGUCACCUGUGUAGCGUCAGUGUCACCUGUGUAGGGUCAGUGUCACCUGUGUAGGGUCAGUGUCACCUGUGUAGGGUCAGUGUUACCUGUGUAGGGUCAGUGUCGUCUGUGUAGGGUCAGUGUUACCUGUGUGGGGUCAGUGUUACCUGUGUAGGGUCAGUGUCGUCUGUGUAGCAUCAGUGUCACCUGUGUAGCGUCAGUGUCACCUGUGUAGGGUCAGUGUCACCUGUGUAGGGUCAGUGUUACCUGUGUAGGGUCAGCGUUGUCUGUGUAGGGUCAGUGUCGUCUGUGUAGGGUCAGUGUCGUCUGUGUAGGGUCAGUGUUACCUGUGUAGGGUCAGUGUUACCUGUGUAGGGUCAGUGUCGUCUGUGUAGGGUCAGUGUCGUCUGUGUAGCGUCAGUGUUACCUGUGUAGGGUCAGUGUUACCUGUGUAGGGUCAGUGUCGUCUGUGUAGCGUCAGUGUUACCUGUGUAGGGUCAGUGUUACCUGUGUAGGGUCAGUGUCGUCUGUGUAGGGUCAGUGUUACCUGUGUAGGGUCAGUGUCGUCUGUGUAGGGUCAG